GACAAAAUCAAGGCUUUUUGAAUAUGAAUAAUGAUUUACAGUGAAAAUACUGGUUUUCAAUUGAUCUCAUCAAACGAGACCAGAUCGAACAAAGAAUGGUGGCAAAGAAAAAGAAACCAAAAAUUAGAUGAAGUAGGAAAGGUUUCUGCUAUCCGUCUAGUUUAAAAUUGUUGUUUCUAAAUUUCAACCAUGCCAUUUCACACAUGUUUCAUGCCCACUUCUGUUUAUGCCAUCUUGGCAUAGGAUACACAUGGCAAAGUUUUGACUCUGAAAAACACAAACUGACGCUGCUAAAGAAAAUGGAAAAUAAUAUUACAUAAGAUUUGGAACUAUAGAGAGAAUAAAGAAUACGGAUUUGUAUAGUAGACCAACACUAGUACAGGGACAAGGUCAACCAGACGUUUAAAAACAGAAUUUAAAAUUGGAAAUGCCCAGUAUUGCAGAAGAUUUACCAGUUGACUUUUAUAGGUCUAUAAACAUAACCACAAUUAUUAACUUGAUAUCAGUACUCA
rnacentral:misc_RNA from 1 species